UGUGACUGGGAGUAGGGGAAGGAGGUUGUCAAAGAUGAUUGGUGAUUGAAUCAGGAGUGGCCCACUCGGUGAGGUAUAGGAGAAGCUGAGGAGAAAGAGGCCGGCUCUUUUGUUAUACUUCACAGAGCUUUUUGGACCUUGAACUUUCAGCAAUGGCAGGCUGGGCAUUUCUCUAUCCUCCCUUGGACUCAACAUCAGGGCAGGCAGAUACGAGCACAGAGGAGCAAGAACAUGUGCUGGCCUAGACGAGUCUGAGUCCUCGGUCACCUUUGCACUUCCUUGCGCUCUUCUCUGAGUCCAAGCUAGCCAGAGAGUCUACUGGAUUUUGUGCUGUCUAUAAGUGUGCACACGUUCCAUGUAUCGAUGAGAAAGAAGUUGAGGCUCCAAGGGGUCCUGUGACCUGCAGGAUAGCAACUCUGAUUUCCAGACCCCACCUCCAGCUCUCUGCUCUCAACAGCAGGAGGUUCCUCAAGGGUACCCGGCCAGAGAAUGCAUAUCAACCUGACAAAAUUUAACAGCAAGGAACCCGGAAUAGAGUUUUUGUGAAAUCACUAUUUUGAUAUCAGAAACUCAACCAAAUUCACCAGCUUUGGGAUGUUUCUAGACAUUGUAGUUUUACCAAAGGAUUCAAUGAGAAUUGCCUGUGCUUUAAAAGAAGAUAUGGUCAAUUUAAGACCUGAAACAGGAAGCAGAUGUAACUCAAAAGUUUUGUUUUUUUGUUUUUUGUUUUUUUAUAUUACUUACCUUCCAAUGAAGGGAGAGCAUUUAGGGCUCAAAGUUUUAGAAGAGAAUGUUUAAAAAAAUAAAUAGAAUUUGAAAAAAAAAUGACAAAGGGGAUGGUUUCAGAAAAAUCUGGGAAGACUUAUGUGAACUGACACAAAGUAAAGUGAACAAUACUGUAUAUAAUCAUGGCAAUACUGUAACAAUAAUCAACUGUGAAAGAGUUAGCUAAUCUGAUCCAUAUAAUGAACCAUGACAAUUUCAAAGGACUGAUGAAAAAUGCUCUCCACCUCCAGAAAAAGAACUGAUGAAUUCUGAGUGCAGAUUG